rnacentral:misc_RNA from 1 species
UCGAAACGAGAAGAGACCGAAGGCGAACAGACAAGAGCAACACCAAAAGCACAGUUUGUGUUGCGUGUGACGAUACAUACGAAGAGAGAGGCUCCUUCCGUGGAGAGCGCGUGCGCCUCUCUCUUUUUCUCUCUCGUUGUCUUCUGCUCUCCGCCCCGCCACGUUGUCUUCGCCUUCCCUCUUCGGGCGUGUCUGCAUUCGUGCGUCUUGGCGUGCGCGGUCCCGCUCUUCUCCUUUCCUCGCUCUUUUGCCCCUUUCCCUGCGGUUUCGCCUGCUUCUGUUCAUCCUUUUCUUCUCUCCUCCGCCGUUUGGUCUGAUGCCGUCCGGCGUCGCCCCGUCCCUCGCUGGCCAGCCGCCACCCUCGCGCUUGGAGGCGCCCCACAUAAGCGACAAGAGCACCGCACCAGCGCUGCCCCCCCGGGCCAAUGACACCAAGAACGCACCGCCGGCGAAUUCGAAUCCCAUGAAGCAGAUGACGCGUGUGAGGCUGAACCCGACGACGCGCGUCGCCUCGGUGCCAAUGUCGCUGGUGCCGCCGUACGUGGACGUGCCCCCGGGCAACGGCUUUCGGGCCGGCUUCGUGCCGCGCGCCGCGACGACCACGCCUACCUCUGCGCCACAGACCCACAGUGACCAUCACCAGGUGGUUGAGGCCGUGCAGACAGCCUAUGAGAAGACGGAGGCUCACCUCAAGGCGAUCGAGGCAAAGCUGAAUCUCCUGCACGAAGAGAUGCAGCAAACGCCGUCACCGGCGAUGUCGCGCGAGGCACCGACGGAGACGCUGAGCAGCAAUGCGACAGCCCAGAAUGUGCUCGACUCUCUCGCCCCCAUCGCGACAACCGGUGCGUCAGGCAGCAAGGCCGCGGCGAAUCAUCAUCUGCAGCCGAUUCCGUCUGCAAUGGCGACGUCGCUCCCGCCCGUCCCACUGACACCGACGCCGAGGCCGACCGGAGUAGCGAGGUCGAAGAUUUCCGCUGCCGCGGCAGCCGUCAUGGAACCCCUCGCCACUGCUGCAGCUGCUGCAUCAGCCACUGCGAGAGCUGACCGGCAACGUGACCUGCUACACCCUCACUUCUUCGUCGACGACGCUGACAUGCUCGACACCCCCCACGCCAGCAUCGGCAGCAACUCGUCUUCGAACGAGUCCAGCGACAGCAGCAGUGAUGCAGGUCACGCGUUGCCGAAUGGUGCGCGCCCACCCGCCCAGACGCCGGCUGCGGCUACAGACUGCAGCGAGCCCAGCAACAGGACAGCGGCUCCAGCGCGGCAGAGAGUCGACCUCAAAGAUGUCUCGCAUGCGAACGCGUGGUCCUCGGCUGACGCCGCUAGUGAUCGCCGGGCGAUGAGGUUCAGCGAGGGAGGUGAAAGAACGAGGACAGCACACGCCUUUCCUGCUUCGCUGUCGUCGACCACGCCGCCUGCCCACAGGGGUUCCACCUGUGGCACCGGAGAGACAGGCGAGGUGGUGGCAGUGGGUCGUGAGUUUCGCCAAUCCUCCACACAGGCGAGUACGAUGACAGGUGCGAAGGCGUGCUUCUCUGUUGGAGAGUCUGUCAACCACGCGGUCGACAGCGCCCAGGCUGUCGACGGGCUCAGGAGCGUGACGCGCCACCAAGCUAAGGUCGUGAAGCACGUACGAGAAAACUUCUUCGCGCCGAUCCCACGCUUCGAUGAUGUGCUUCCGCGCAACAAGGCGGGUCUGUUUGACAAGCACGACGUCGAAAAGCUACUUCUACCCGGCGCUCCGUGCUCGUGGCUGUGCUGUGCGUCGCUGGCCAUCAGCUACGUGUCGGGGGUGCCGACGCCCGUGGAGAAGGUGCUGCGUGCAAACCGCAUGGGUGUGCACUACAUCUCCUUGCCUACCAUCACGCUGGCGGAGCUCUUCGACGUCGUGAGCGACUACAUCCACAUCUGCUACCACCGCACCGCGGUGCAUAACAGCAGCUGCACGGAGGACGAAUUCGAGGACGACGAGGAGGCGGCGCGGUGCCUGAGUGAGGACGAAUUAAGGCAGCUGGCGCACGUUCACUGCGAAAUGGCCACCUUCGACAAAGAAGUGCUAGACCCGGAGUCUGGCGAGGACAUGCAGGGCAUGGGUGAGCACCCUCCCAUCACGAACCCGACACAGCUCCGCAAGGAGCUGCUGCUUCACCUUGGAGAGGAGAAGUCGAUGUACAUUUUCUACUACAACCCACACGUGCUGGAGCAGGCCCAGCUGCGGCUGCGCAGCAACCAGUGCGACACCGAGGAGGAGGCGGCCGCGAUUAUGGCGACCGCCCGCUUUUCCGCCAACGCGGCCGGCCUGUUCGGCAUUCUGCUGGACUUUGACCCCGUGUGCCACGAGGUGAAGGUGCUGACACCGUACCUUUCUGCGGAGCAGCGUCCGCUGCACUUCAAGGGCGACGAGGGCGUGGUGAGCGAGGACGAGGAGGGGGGCCACGCGCGGCACAACAUUCGCCGUUUUGCCAGCACCUUUUCGAACCUCGUGAUGGAGGAGCAGCUGGUGAGCCUGCACGCACUCUACGAGUCGGUUCAGCCGGCGGACAAGUACUUGGGCCUCUCGCGCGGUUUUGUGCGCGUCUUCAAGAGCGAGUCUUUCCCGCCAAAGGUGCCGUCCAUGUUCCCACUCUUUGUGCUGGACGGCAGCAGCGCCGGCGGCCUCAUGACAAGUGUGCUGGACGUGAAGAUUGCGCCGCACGUUCUGGGCCUCGCCAUGCUGCACCACCUCUCGGUGACUUUCCUCCUGACGGACUCAGCGCGUCGCAAGCAGAGUAGCCGCAAUCUGCUUGGCAAGACGAACGUAUGCGACGUCAAGCUGCGCGGCAUUCCGCUGACGAAGGUGUGCCAGCAGCUGCGGCUGCCGCUGUCCAUGAUUGUGUGUGAAAGUAACAAAGGCUCCAUCGAGAUGGCAUACGUGUGGUAUCACGUCUUCCUCCAGCAGCUGCAGAUCGACCAGGACGUGCGCAUCGGCCUCAUCCUACCUUCCCGUCGCGAUGGCGCCGCAGAUGGGCAGCCCAACAUCACCGAUACUCAGUUUGUCCAUCAUCUGCGGCUCAUGGUCGAGUCGAAGAGCGUGAUGCUCAUCAGCUUCGACAUCAACAUCGCCUUGAACGUGCGCAUCGAUGCCAGGAGCGAUCCGGCGCACUUUGCGAUCGUCAUCGGCGUGGAUGAGGAGCGCGGCGUUGUUCGGCUGGCGGAUGUGAACGUGAAGCGGUUCCGCAAGACGUGGCACAUUCCGAUCUCGCGCCUGUACAACGCCGUCAUGGGCUACGGCUAUAUCGUUGCUUCGAAGAGUAGGAAGGUCAUCAAAUCCCUAAAGGGGAAGCACUUCCACGAGAACGCGCUUCAGCGCGCGCGCAACUUCCUACCCCCGCCAACUCCGGCGGCGUACCAGCGCUUCGAGUACCCCUCCUGCCCGUACCCGCUGACCGUGCUGGCCGAUGCCGUAGAACGAUUGGGCUUCGCGGGAACGAACGUGGAGCGCUUUCUCAACUUCUGCGGCUUCCACAUCUCCUACUUCUUAUCACCGAAUAUGCCGCUCGAGGGGGCCGCGCUUGUGAUCCAGAACUACUCCCACUACGCCCUCGAUGACGCUGUGAGCGUGACGACGACGCACUACGACUUCUACGAGGGGAACCUACCGCCUAAAGAGGAGGCCGCUGAGGCGGACGGGACGCCCACAUACCCGGUGCGUUCAGAGGCGGACCUACUGGAGUCUAUUCAGUAUGCCAUCGCCGAGCCUGAAAAGCGCAAGCUGAUCGUGAAGUACGACGUGAAUGUUCUGCAGGCGGAUGAGACCGUGUGGAACGGUAAAAGUGGCAACAGCUUCGCUUUUGUCAUGGACUACGUGGCGUCGAAGAGGAUGGUAGUGCUCUCCGAUGCGAGCCCGUCCUCCUUCUACCGCUCUUUCGCCUGCCCCUUGGCGGUGCUGUUUAAGGCCGUGUGCAGCUGGGACAGUGUCAGCCUCCGCGCGCACGGGACGAUUCUGCUGACAACGGAGGUGACGCAGGAGUCGGUGCACGAGGACACGAAGGGCUACGACAUGGCACACGCCCUCGUGCACCACCCCUUCAAGCCCAUGUUCUCAGCGGUCUGCUCCUGCCUGGCACUCGCGUCGACGGAGAUGAUGAUGAACAUCGAGACCCCCAGGCUUCUCGGCGGCGCCCCGAUCAGCGUCGAGGAUGAUGAUGGGAAGUACAAGCGCUACAACAACAUAUUUUCCGCCGAGGACUUCCUUUACGCACUGCCCUCCUUCAGCGUGUGUGAAUGGCGUAUGCAGGCGGUGGACAUCCAGGACAUAGGAAGCAUGGCCAACAGUGCGUUCGCGAAGCUGAAGCUGCCGCUGCGCGCCGUGGAUGUGCUUCAGGAGCAGGGGUCCGACUCUAGCACCGACCCGAAAGCGCUGCUGCGCGCCUGCAGCGGUAUCAGCGGUCUACAGACUAUCACCCUCGUCACCUACGAUGCGGGCAUGCUGCACGGCGCUCCAGGCUCAUCCGCGGGCCUCGUGAACCGUGUGCGCCUUUUCGACGACGAGAACGAGGAGGCGACGGCGAAGCCGAUAGUGCCAGGCGCGCCGAAGAACAGCGUGGGCUCCGUGCAGUUGCUGGAGGGCGAUCCGUGCCGCUGGGGCGCGUGCUUCGAGCGCUCUGCCGAGGAGCUAAUGCGCGCCAUCAAGGGCAUCUAUCGCGUAGAGGAGGCCAUGGAAAAGGACGCGGAUGGAUGACGUGGUGGUGAGGUGAGUUGAUGGCGGCUAUAGAUCAUUUUUUUUUUGCUUUUCCAUUUUUUUUUCGUUUUUCUUGUGCUUCGCUAUCCGGGUCUCCGUGCUCACCAUGUACAGCCUUCUUCCCUUGCUCAACCACGAUACGUUCCCUGUUGUUCUUUGCUUUAUUGGACUGCUGCUUUCGCUCAUGCCCCCCUCCCCCUCCCCAUCUCCCCCAUCUCUCGCUCUCUCUGUCGUCGCUGCUUCGGCUUCUAUGCGUCGGCAUCCGCCAACUCUACCGUAAAGCCAAAGGGGGCAAAGAAGGCAUGCGACGGUGGGGGCUCCGUUGCCCGAGUCUCUCACUCUCUCUCCUUUAUUCUCUGUGGUCUAUUUCUUGCGCUUGUGUACCCUCUCUGGCUUUUAGACGCCACAGGUGCUUCGCUGCGUUUGCCUCCACUUAGUGUUUUCUUGUUCUCCCUUUCGAUGUCUCCUGUGCGGAUGAGUGCGGUGUUGGUGUGUGCGUCUGUGUCUUGGGGAGGGGGACUCAGCGAAUGUACACCAUCCGCCCUUCUCCUUCCUGUCCCUCCUCUGCUCGCCCGUGUGUCUUUCGCUGGCUUUGCCUCUCGUCUGUUGUUCUUUCGCCUUUUUUGUUUGUGCGCUGUUGGCCCUCCCUUCCUCGGAAGCGGCCCAG